rnacentral:rRNA from 1 species
AACGAACGCUGGCGGCGUGCCUAACACAUGCAAGUCGAACGAGAAAGGGGCUUCGGUCCUGAGUAAAGUGGCGCACGGGUGAGUAACACGUAGGUAACCUGCCUCUAAGAUUGGGAUAACCUGUCGAAAGACGAGCUAAUACCGAAUAAGACCACGGCUCCCUCAGGAGCAGGGGUCAAAGGUAGCCUCUACUUGUAAGCUAUCACUUAGAGAUGGGCCUGCGCACCAUUAGCUAGUUGGUGGGGUAACGGCCUACCAAGGCAAAGAUGGUUAGCUGGUCUGAGAGGAUGAUCAGCCACACUGGAACUGAGACACGGUCCAGACUCCUACGGGAGGCAGCAGUGGGGAAUAUUGCGCAAUGGGCGAAAGCUUGACGCAGCAACGCCGCGUGAGUGAUGAAGGCCUUCGGGUCGUAAAGCUCUGUCGGAGGGAACGAAUGCUCGCGGGGUUAACAGCCCCGGGAAGUGACGGUACCCUCAAAGGAAGCACCGGCUAACUCUGUGCCAGCCGCCGCGGUAACAC